UUGAUAUCUGCUGAAGCCCAUGGGUCUUAACCCAAAUCAGCUGAAGAAAAUCAGACCCAAGAAGAGUUCCUGCAAUUUAACAAAAUGUGGUGACAGCUUCUGGAAGAAGUGUUGAAAUUCACACCUGCACAUCCAGCCUGAAUGCCCAUCAGGUCUAGAUAACCAAAAUACACUGGAAAGAAAUGUAGUAACUUCAUUGUCAUACCCCAGAGAUCAAUGGCACAAAAUACCCAGUGAGGGACUGGAGAAGUCUCCCAGCUUGCCUGGUAUCUAUGAAUCCAAAUGGAAAAGAGAAUGUUGGCAAAGACACUCGGUCCUACUGUGAGCAAAAGCUGCCCUCGUACCCAGGGAAGCAACUAAUAGUUGGCACAGGACUGAGAGCUCUGGGGAGCUGUGCAGGAGCGAUGUCUCCUGUGGGGAAGAAAAAAGCUUAGUGCAGACUCCAAGUUCUUCUCAGUACGGGCAGUGGGAAGGGAACAGCGUAAUGUCUGGAAUUACCUGUCAUUCCUAGCUGGCAUCCAGGCUCUUAGCUGUGGUGAGGUUUGUUGCACUGGGGUUUCCAUAAAGAGCGUUCAUCAAUCAGGAAUGCAGGUACUUUUUCAAAGAAACUCUGGGCGUCUGCAGAGCUUGAUGGAUAUGCUUAUAAAUUUGAAAGUGGCAGUUUGGAGGGCAAUUUGGAGGGUAGCUGGCAAGACAUGAGCCAUUGUGGAAAAAUGAAUUCACAGGCAGGACUUCUUUGAGAAUGAAUUUGAGAAUGAAAGUGAUUCCACCAACCUGCUUCAUUCGUUUAUUUAAAUUUAUGCUAUAAAAUGAACAGCAGAGGAAAGCCAAAACUUGCACUGAUGAUUUUUCUUCUUUGUUCCUUACCUUCUUUUAUUUAUUGAGCUGCUCUGGAUACACCUUUCAAAAGACUUUUUUUUUUUUUUUUUUGAUUCACUGUUUAUUAUAUCUUCAUCAGCCUUGAAAUGGGAGCUGCAGGCAGCUUGAUAAAUGGAUCAAAAAGCUGCUUCUGCCAGAAUCAAACUAACAAACCCCCUCAAUAUCCAUAACCCCUUUUGUUUUAACAUUUCUAAAACAAGCAUGAUUUCCCUCAGAGCAACACUGAAGAGUGAUGCCCCAGUAUCCGUAAGUGUUUCAGCAAAGGGAUUUCUUUAUUCAGUUAUGUCCAGGGCAGAAGUUUGUCACUGGGUCACGAACAGGACUCAGCCUGCAGCACGGGAGAGCAAGGGUAGCUGGGGUAUGGUAGAGAGAGUCCUUGGAAGGCUGAACAAAUCCUGACUCUAAAAUGUGCUGGGCAGGUUGAUGGAGUAAAUGAGCCAACAUGUACGAAAUUGGGUCUUGCUCACAGAAACUAACAGCUGUCUUUCUUCCAUACAGCUGGGGUUUUUUUGCCUAGAUGCUUUCUAAACUCUCCCUUUUCUUCCAAUCCGUCUUUAAAUAUGGACAGCUAAAUAUAGCCCAGGUUCAAACCUUUUGUCUUCAGCACACUUACUGAGUUCCACAGUUGGUGCAGCCUGGCAGUAAACCAGGGCUUUAGCUACUGUGAUUUAUUGAUAGAGGUAAGUGGUUCAGCCCCAUCUGUGAUAGUACAAAAUGUUCAGAAGAAAAUAAAUACCCCAUAAGAAAGUGGUAAUGGACCAUCAGAUGCAGAGCUCCCAAACAGCCAGGUGAAGACAUCACAUUUCCUGCUGUAGCAGAUAGCACAGGUGUUGCAGCAAAGUGGGGGGUGGCGGGGCAGGCAUGGGAGGUGGGGGACAAGUUUGGACAACCCAACACCCCCCCCCCCCCCAACAAAACAAAACCUAAAACAAAUAAAAAAGGCAUGAAGUUGUAUGACUUGUGAGAGGGAGUAGCAAAGCUCUAGUGGUGGAUCCCGAGGGCAAAAUGACAGAGGUUUGUGUUCCUGUCCUCAUUAACCUUGUUUCACCUCUGCAUGCAAAACUGGUUAAUAUGCAAAGCAGAAGAUGUGAAUCUUGGCCUGAGCUCAUUGGUAUGUAAUUUGCCAGUAUGGGUCAUGCUGAGAACAGUGCAUCCUGCUCUCCUAACACCGUUUCCAGAAUGCAGCAAGUUGGCAGCACCCAAGGGCUGCCGCAAGGAUGCCUGAUGGGCUCUGCCAAAGCCAACAGUCUUCUCGUCGCUGUUCCUACCCACUGCUUGCCUGGUUUCCAACCAUCUGUGUCAUCAGUGGGCUGCCAGGGUCCUGGGCUGGUUACAGUCACAUCUUCCAAGUAAUGAUUCCAGUGCCAUGGUCAUGCUGUGGGUUUGUUUCUGAAUUAUGGAGAGCCAGUAUUACUGAAUUAUUACAGUGAACUGCUCCUGUCUGGGUUUUUUUUUUUCUCCCAUCUUUUCCAGUCUGUCUUAAGAACUGUCUGCCUUCAGAAAGAAUUUUGCUGUUCCUUGGGGCAGGAGGUGAAUAUGAGUGGAGAAGGAUGGAGAGCUGGAGGCUGCCUUUCUCUUGCUGGAAACACACAGCAUGCACAAAGCCAUGCAGGCAGGAAUACUAAUUGGAAUAAGAGGGCAGCAAACAGCUGGAAGGAAGUGCACAUCUGAAUGAGGAGGAUCCAUCUCUACAAACAGUCACCCAGGCUUUCCUUCCUUCCCAGAAACCACGGGUGUCUUCUGCUAAAGAGCAGCAUCCUGCUUCUACCGGUGAGGAAUCACUGACACCAUGACAAAACCUGACGGACUUAGGAAGAGCUGUCCUGGCUGGGUAAUAGCUACCUGACCUCCAGCAGAAGGUGCAACCUUACCUACUAGAAGGUGAGAAACCCAUCAGGUGCUAGAGAUAGAUCCUCCUGAUUUCCAAAGCAAACCUGUUAUCACAGGCUAAAGAGAGGAUGAAGUAUGAGGGAUGAUCUAGUCCAGUUAGUGCAUUUUUAUCUCAGAGGGGAUUUUCAAGAGACAGCUAUCAUCAGUGUAUGGCUUUGGGGCAACCAGAGCUACAUUAACCAAAAGACAUCUUUGGCCUACCAAAUGUGUAACUAACAGGAGGUUAUCCUGGACUGAGUACCUCCAGUGUUGAGACUCACUAUGUCUCAGGUUUAGCUCAGGUUUGCACCCAGGGCAGUUUCCACCAGGCAUAGACUUUGAACCUGGGCACUUUCCACCUAUCUGAAUAUGGCAAGAGGAGGUGGAAAGAUUGCAGUGCCCUUGGCAUCUUCUCAGCACUCACCUGGCAAUUUCUACAGACAUCCAUUGCGGACCUCAAUGGUUGUGAUGAACUUGGAGAGGCUGCAAAAUGGAUAGACAAAAUGCCCCACUUAAAAGCAGCUCAAAGGAAAGGCAGGAGCUGUGAGCAGCCGGGAGAGGGGUCUGGAGGGAGCAGGACAGACAGAGCCGAGCUGCCUUUCCCAAAGCCUGCUUAGCAUAGGCCAGGGCCCCCAUUUGCUAUUGACUGGAGGGAUGUUUUACAAGUGCCCCUUCUGGCUUAGAGAGAUAUGAAAUCUGUCUGUAAUUAAGUUAAUUUGGAGUUGAACAUGGGCAAAGAUAAUGAGCUGGAAAUAACAAAAGAAGAUUAAGAAAGAGAGGAAGGUGUUGCUAAGAAACAGAUCUAUUGCCUCAAAUCCUCCCCCCUGCCCAAUCAAAUAAAAGGUUUUUAGGAGCUGGAUGGUUGAGUGAUGGGGCAGACAGAGCACAGGCGUGAUGAUUGCUAUAUAAAGGCUCAAAAUAAUGAAGGAGAUAAGAAGAGAGGUAUGACUUGGAGAACUGAGGAAGGCAAAAAGGAGGAGAAAAAUUAUUUCUUAUGCAAGUGACAGUUGUAGCCAGUACAGUUUAGUGGCAGAGCAGUGGCUUUGGGAUCAGCAGAGGGUGCCUGCUGCCUGACUUGCCUGCUGGUCUCAGGGAACCCUUCCAGUGCCCUGAGCCUCUACUGGGAAGUGCUCUGAGACGUGUAAAUAAGGCCACCAUGUCUUGCUUAUCAAAGAUGAGCAAACAGCCCCUCUUGAAGGACAAGGCUUUUAUUUUCUUCAGCAUUUGACCCUGGUGAGUGUUCCCACUGGAGUCAAGCAUCAGGGUGAAGACUUAAGACUGUUUCUCCUUGGCUUUUAGAAAUGCUAUAAAAUACAGCCUGUUCAAGCCAAAAGGAGGAUGGAAAAGAGGUCUGCCGAAGGGAGCAGAAUACUUAACAGUCUGCACAGCAUAAGUAAAUAGACAAGUUAUGAUCAAUGAGUUUGUUUGAAUUUGACAGAGCUUUCCUGCAAACAUGGGGGAGGGAAGGGGGGCAAAACAUUCCCUGCCAGUGUGAGCUGUAAUAAAGAACCUGCUGUUUUCUGAUUCUCACUCUCUGUGAAAAUUGAAAAGGUUAGCCAGGUAAUUGAAAUCGGGACUGGAAUACCAAUACGUGUGAAAGCCUUACAGCUGGCAAAUAAAGUUGCAGGGAAAAAGACUCAAUCCUCAGUGGAAUUGCUUAGCAGCAAAAAGACAGGAUAGAUGGUGGGGAGAGGAUUCUUCAAUAUACCUGUUCCUCAUGGGAGGGGAGAUAGGGGAAGGAAUGAGACCUGAAGCAACCCGACUGAGGCUAACACUUGUAUGAGUGCUCUUUGCUGUUAAUACAAGACACACUGUAAAAAAGUGUAGUGUGCAAAGGCUGAAUCAUGGCAGUCAUUGCUGCCUCUUGGAGUAAUGUACUAGGUUUACUGGGAAUUGUUAGGCUGCCACGUCAGACCCAGCUAAGGGACUGUUUCUUGUUAUAUGUGCAGAGAGAGAACUUCACACAACAGCCCCUUGUGUUGGGGCUGAGAUACGUAAGCAAACUAGAUGCAACUGGACCAUUGUCAACUGCCUGUUCAUCUUGGUUGUAUGCAGGAACACAAACUGAUUUGCAUUAUUUUAAGCUAAGGCCAGGGAGGUAGAAGGUUACUGCUGAGCAGCUGAGGAAUGGUUCCUUGUUACACUACUUUGUGCUCUACGUGUCCAAGUCACAGUGGAGGGUCCUGCCAUUGCUACUGCAAUGUAAAUUUGUAUGUGUUUCUGUUUCUGUGGUCUGUUUUUCUGCAUGAUCAGGUAACUUGAGCUGGGAAGAAACAGUGGUGCAGGUCUUGGGGGAGCUGAGGUUUGUGGUAUUAGUAGAGUUCAUUCACAUUCAAAGCCCCCUCCACAUGUAAUAUUUCCUUAGCACCAACCCAACCAACGGAAACUCCAGUCUGUAUAUGGUUAAAUAAACAAUAAAUAUACCUCCAA